rnacentral:tRNA from 1 species
AGCUUUAUAGUCAUUAAAUGAUAUUAGACUGCAAUUCUAAAGGAGUAAAAAUAAUUUACUAAGGCUU